AGAACGAACGCUGGCGGCAGGCUUAACACAUGCAAGUCGAACGCUCAUAGCAAUAUGGGAGUGGCGCACGGGUGAGUAACACGUGGGAACAUGCCUUUCAGUAUGGGAUAACAGCGGGAAACUGCUGCUAAUACCGUAUAUUCCCUCCGGGGGAAAGAUUUAUCGCUGAAAGAUUGGCCCGCGUUAGAUUAGGUAGUUGGUGGGGUAAUGGCCUACCAAGCCUACGAUCUAUAGCUGGUCUGAGAGGACGACCAGCCACACUGGAACUGAGACACGGUCCAGACUCCUACGGGAGGCAGCAGUGGGAAUAUUGGACAAUGGGCGAAAGCCUGAUCCAGCCAUGCCGCGUGAGUGAUGAAGGCCUUAGGUUGUAAAGCUCUUUUGUCAGGGAAGAUAAUGACGGUACCUGAAGAAUAAGCACCGGCUAACUUCGCGCCAGCAGCCGC
rnacentral:rRNA from 1 species